rnacentral:rRNA from 1 species
CCUACGGGGGGCAGCAGUAGGGAAUAUUGCUCAAUGGGGGAAACCCUGAAGCAGCAACGCCGCGUGGAGGAUGAAGGUUUUCGGAUUGUAAACUCCUUUUGUUAGAGAAGAUAAUGACGGUAUCUAACGAAUAAGCACCGGCUACCUCCGUGCCAGCAGCCGCGGUAAUACGGAGGUGGCAAGCGUUACUCGGAAUCACUGGGCGUAAAGAGCGCGUAGGCGGGAUAGCAAGUCAGAUGUGAAAUCCUAUGGCUUAACCAUAGAACUGCAUUUGAAACUGUUAUUCUAGAGUAUGGGAGAGGUAGGUGGAAUUCUUGGUGUAGGGGUAAAAUGCGUAGAGAUCAAGAGGAAUACUCAUUGCGAAGGCGACCUGCUAGAACAUAACUGACGCUGAUGCGCGAAAGCGUGGGGAGCAAACAGGAUUAGAUACCCCGGUAGUC